GCAAACUUGGUCAUUUAGAGGAAGUAAAAGUCGUAACAAGGUUUCCGUAGGUGAACCUGCGGAAGGAUCAUUACCGAGGAAGGGUCUCAACGGCCCGAACUCCCAUCCCUUGUGGAUCAACCACCGUUGCUUCGGCGGCUGCCCGCCGAACGCCUCAACUUCUGAUCAUCAUGUUGUCUGAGUCUGAUAUCAAAUCAACGCAAAACUUUCAACAACGGAUCUCUUGGUUCUGGCAUCGAUGAAGAACGCAGC
rnacentral:misc_RNA from 1 species